rnacentral:tRNA from 1 species
GCCGGGUUGAUGGAAUCGGCAGACAUGGCGCUCUCAAAAGGCGCUGCCCGAAAGGGCGUGGGGGUUCGAGUCCCCCACCCGGCA